rnacentral:rRNA from 1 species
CCUACGGGCGGCAGCAGUGGGGAAUAUUGCACAAUGGGGGGAACCCUGAUGCAGCAACGCCGCGUGAAGGAAGACGGUUUUCGGAUUGUAAACUUCUAUCAAUAGGGAAGAAAGAAAUGACGAUACCUAAAUAAGAAGCCCCGGCUAACUACGUGCAAGCAGCCGCGGUAAUACGAAAGGGGCAAGGGUUAUCCGGAUUGAUUGGGUCUAAAGGGUGCGUAGGAGGUCCGUUAAGUCAGCGGGAAAAGUGCGGGGCUCAACCCCGUCGAGCCGAUGAAACUGGCAGACUUGAGUAGGCGAGAAGUACGCGGAAUUCGCGGUGUAGCGGUGAAAUGCAUAGAUAUCGCGCAGAACUCCGAUUGCGAAGGCAGCGUACCGGCGCCAGACUGACGCUGAGGCACGAAAGCGUGGGGAUCGAACAGGAUUAGAUACCCCGGUAGUC